AUUGAACGCUGGCGGCAUGCCUUACACAUGCAAGUCGAACGGCAGCAUGAUCUAGCUUGCUAGAUUGAUGGCGAGUGACGAACGGGUGAGUAAUACAUCGGAACGUGCCCUGUAGUGGGGGAUAACUAGUCGAAAGAUUAGCUAAUACCGCAUACGACCUGAGGGUGAAAGUGGGGGACCGCAAGGCCUCAUGCUAUAGGAGCGGCCGAUGUCUGAUUAGCUAGUUGGUGAGGUAAAGGCUCACCAAGGCGACGAUCAGUAGCUGGUCUGAGAGGACGAUCAGCCACACUGGGACUGAGACAGGGCCCAGACUCCUACGGGAGGCAGCAGUGGGGAAUUUUGGACAAUGGGGGCAACCCUGAUCCAGCAAUGCCGCGUGUGUGAAGAAGGCCUUCGGGUUGUAAAGCACUUUUGUCCGGAAAGAAAUCGCACUUACUAAUAUUAGGUGUGGAUGACGGUACCGGAAGAAUAAGGACCGGCUAACUACGUGCCAGCCGCCGCCGUAAAAC
rnacentral:rRNA from 1 species